rnacentral:tRNA from 1 species
AUAUAUAUAUAUUAUAUAAUUAUAAAUAAAUAAUUUAAUAAUAUUUUUUAAUUUAUUAUUAUAUUUAAAAUAUAUUAUAUAUU